CUGGCUCAGAUUGAACGCUGGCGGCAGGCCUAACACAUGCAAGUCGAACGGUAACAGGAAGCAGCUUGCUGCUUGCUGACGAGUGGCGGACGGGUGAGUAAUGUCUGGGAAACUGCCCGAUGGAGGGGGGAUAACUACUGGAAACGGUAGCUAAUACCGCAUAAUGUCGCAAGACCAAAGAGGGGGACCUUCGGGCCUCUUGCCAUCGGAUGUGCCCAGAUGGGAUUAGCUUGUUGGUGAGGUAACGGCUCACCAAGGCGACGAUCCCUAGCUGGUCUGAGAGGAUGACCAGCCACACUGGAACUGAGACACGGUCCAGACUCCUACGGGAGGCAGCAGUGGAGAAUAUUGCACAAUGGGCGCAAGCCUGAUGCAGCCAUGCCGCGUGUAUGAAGAAGGCCUUCGGGUUGUAAAGUACUUUCAGCGGGGAGGAAGGGGUUAAGGUUAAUAACCUUAGCCAUUGACGUUACCCGCAGAAGAAGCACCGGCUAACUCCGUGCCAGCCGCUGC
rnacentral:rRNA from 1 species